GGAAGAUGUAACCAUGAGCAGAAGGCUGAACAAGAAGUCUGGGAAGGAACCGGGAACCCGGGUCUAGAAGGGCUGAAACGGAUGGCAGAGUAUGGAGUUCUAGGAUUCAGUUCAUCCUCCAGGGCAGCUCUAUCUGAAACAACUGUUUGGGGACUGCAGAGACCCAAACACUAUACACCAUCCAGGGUUGAGCAAUGACAUGAUGGAAGAUGCAUCUUUCCUGCAGAUCCUCUCCUUGCUCCAACUGGGAAAACACAUCUGAUUUGCAGACCUGAAAUCCCACUGAAACCAGAUGAUUGAUGAUCUCUGCCAUUAGAUGUCUGAACAGCUUUCUCUGGGAUGUGUCCAACAUAGCCCACUCUUCUUGGGGGAAGUCUAUAGCUGUAUCUUUGAAUGCCACUGACUCCAGUGGCUGCACUGUCAAAAGCUCAGAUGACAACUGUCUUCUCCUGAGUUUCCUUUCCAACCAGAAAGCAGUAGUGGAGCAAAGCAGAUGAACCUUGUGUUUCAGCUUUUUUCUCUUUCCCCUCCCCUGGCUUCAGAGGCCCAAUGGCAUUGGACUAUUAUGAAGAAACUUUGAAGAAAUCUCAAAAAUUCCCCUUGUAGAACAUGUACACAUUUGAAAAAUAUUUUGUGGAUGUUGCAGACUUGUCUUAGAGCCACCAACACUUCCAGGGGUGGAUCCUGGGAAAGUCUGAAGCCCAGGAGGGGGUGCCCCCGAUAAUUGUUUUUUAAUGGGAUUAUAAGUAUCAGAACUGCAUUGAAGGUGAACAGGAUUGAAACGGGUUGUUUAAAGGCAUGUAUCUCAGAGAUCAGCACUGCAAAUAUAG